rnacentral:rRNA from 1 species
UACGUAGGGGGCAAGCGUUGUCCGGAUUUAUUGGGCGUAAAGAGCGUGUAGGCGGCCAGACAGGUCAGCUGUGAAAACUCGAGGCUCAACCUCGAGACGUCGGUUGAAACCGUCUGGCUAGAGUCCGGAAGAGGUGAGUGGAAUUCCUAGUGUAGAGGUGAAAUUCGUAGAUAUUAGGAAGAACACCAGUGGCGAAGGCGGCUCACUGGUCCGGUACUGACGCUGAGGUGCGAAAGCGUGGGGAGCAAACAGG